rnacentral:rRNA from 1 species
UAGGGAAUCUUCGGCAAUGGGGGCAACCCUGACCGAGCAACGCCGCGUGAGUGAAGAAGGUUUUCGGAUCGUAAAGCUCUGUUGUAAGAGAAGAACGUGUGUGAGAGUGGAAAGUUCACACAGUGACGGUAACUUACCAGAAAGGGACGGCUAACUACGUGCCAGCAGCCGCGGUAAUACGUAGGUCCCGAGCGUUGUCCGGAUUUAUUGGGCGUAAAGCGAGCGCAGGCGGUUUAAUAAGUCUGAAGUUAAAGGCAGUGGCUUAACCAUUGUUCGCUUUGGAAACUGUUAAACUUGAGUGCAGAAGGGGAGAGUGAAAUUCCAUGUGUAGCGGUGAAAUGCGUAGAUAUAUGGAGGAGCACCGGUGGCGAAAGCGGCUCUCUGGUCUGUAACUGACGCUGAGGCUCGAAAGCGUGGGGAGCAAACAGG